UUUGCAUGUGAUGUAAUGCAGGCUCUGAAGUCUACUUGACUUUGAUGUGUCCUCUGUAAAGUACGCAAAUACACACUUGCCAGAUCUUUCCUCCUCUGCUCCACCUUUUUCCUCCAAGGACAGUAGGAGAAUUCUCCAAGCAAGCAGAGAGAUGGGAACAAACUAACUGAUGGAUCACGUUCCUGAAUUAAGCAGGUUUAGGACAAGAACAAGAGAAAACAAUGGGAAAAAUCCCCAGUGAUUCAGUCUAUCCUGUUCUUCAGAUUAGACUGAUUGAGCUGAACGAGAUUUCAACUGCAUCCCCAGCUCACCAGAAAAUUGCACAUAUUUGUCUGAAUGUGGAGAUUGAUGGCUCAGAUGAUCUGAGAGAGAUUGUUUUCUUUUUUCUUUUUUUAAAUUCCCAUUAUCUGCUUUAAACCAACAGAAUUACAACAGCAAACAUACAGCAAUUCCUAUGUUUUGUGACGAAUCCAUACCUAAGAGAAAAAGUACUAUAUUAGGGUAGAUAACACUAUAGUGACAAAUGGAUCAGCAAAAAAAAAAAUCUCUCUCCAAAGAUAGCUACAUGUUUUGAUUUAAUGAGAUGCUAAACAUGUGCGUCAGCUGCAUUAACUAUGGACUGCAUUACAUGGGGGAUAGCUCUGUGAAUCUUCCCAGAUUUAAUCCUUCUCUGCCUUUUGUUUUGAGAAUUUCCUCCCUCUGAUCUCUAAACUCCUAAACUGGUCUUUUCUAAUUUUCCCUUAAAGUGACUCUGUAUUAAUUUACUUAAAGGAACCCUCUGUACUUUAACAGGAGCCUGUUUUAGCCUGUAAUGCCAAUAAUGUUGCUUCUUCUCAAAGUUUCAGCUCAGUCUGGGAGCUUUCAUCAGCGUGAAGACUUGGGAUCUUUUGUUCAUUAAGGAACUGCCUACACUUUCCCCAAGGGAGCUGCACAUUACUACAAAAGAAUUUCUGACUUUUUUCACCGUUUCAAUGGCAAAGAAUCUGACAGGAGGUCACCUCACAAGGCAGGAAAUCACUGGUUCUGUGGUGCUGAAGAAUUUUUCAGUCAACCCAUCAUCUCGAGUUCACCAGCUUCCCAUGCAAAUCUGGCAAGGCGCUCCCAUGUACUGUGGUAUCCUCAGUUCUCCAGACCUAAACCUGAGAAUAUUUGUGACAUAGAAUCAUAGAAUCACAAGGUUGGAAAAGACCUACAAGAUCAUCUAAUCCAAUCGUCCUCCCUUUACCAUACCUACAGAAAACCACUAAACCAUAUCUCCUAGCUCCCUAUCCAGACACUUCUUGAACAGGGAUGGUGACUUCACCUGCCUGGGCAGGCUAUUCCAGAAUUUGACAUCCACAUUUGACAUCUAGGAGCUGAUUUCUGAAGACUGAAGCUCUGCAGUUGCUGAAAUGGCAGAGACUUCUAUAAAUACAAGUGCACAGGCUGAAGUGAGUACUGAUUUUGUACAUGAAGUAGAGCUUACAACACAGAUAGAGGGUCCACCAGCUGGGUGGGAUCUAUUUUUUUUUCCAAGACAUACAACAUAGUGGAGUGAUACAAUAGAUGUUGUUCAGAUUUAUGGAUUGAAAGGAAUAAGUGAAGUUACAGCUUAUUCCAGUAGCACCUCAUACUUGAUUAUUACAUACGAAGUGAUAGCAAUAGAUUGUGCUGCCAUCCACAAAGUGUUGGUUUUCAUUCUCCCCUAUCAAUAAUGGUAACUUUUCCUGGUAAUAGAAAACAACUGCUUUGCACCUUGGAAAGACAAAUCUUCAGUCUCUAAGCAUUAAGUAUCUUUGCUAUAAACAUUUUCUAUUUUGGAGGUAAUUAAGUUGAGUUAGAAUCAGGGAAAAAAAUCAAAGAAAGCUGAAAGAGCAUUCCACAAUGUAGCAGAACUAAGCUAUUCCAUCAGUGAUCUAGUCCUGCACUGAUUGACCUUAAAUCUGUCACUGUGUUUUCAUCUCCCUCUCAAUGAGUAUUUUUCAGGAACCAAGGAACAAUACUUAAAAGUCCAUGCCCUCCCUACAACCAGCCUGCAGACAGGCCUAUGGAUAAGUCUGGUCUCAUACGAGAAUCCCUGAGUUACUUUCCAAACCAGCCCAAUAACUCACCCUGGCUUGCUGAAGGGUUCUUUGGAAAGACUGGUGGGGCUGCAUGUAUUUUGGGGUUUUGGGGAAACAUAAACCCUCUGUCACUGUAGAGUUGUUCAAGAAAAAAUACAAAUAAUAAUAAAGAAAUGUUUCAUAGAGCUAUGAUUUUUUCCUCUUUUACCAAGUCAGCUAGUAUCCAGAACUGGGUUCACAAAACUCUACCAAAGGAAAACCUGAGGCAUCUGGAGGUUUUUGCCCACUUCCUCUUAUGGGUCACCAGUGGUCUGGAAAAAUAACCUGCCUCCAUGAGUCUGCUGGACACCUAACUAAAAACCUUAAAGCAGGGAAGGUGCUGGUAUGUGAACAGCUGGUACCUGCUGCACCUGAAUGGGUACUCAAAAUCGGCAAACCAAAGCUCUGCCCAUAAUGUCACUUUAAUAGUCCACAGUUUUACAGCUACACAUGCUCAAAAUCAUCAUAUCCAACUGUACAAGACUCAAGAAGUUUAACCAGAAUGUUAAAGGAGCUCUUCAGAAAAAUACAACAUGACAAUGUUUUGCCAACUCUGAACUUAUUUAUUCAUGUUUGGAUUCAUGUAAGGAAGUAUCCAUGCCAUAUUUUUUUUUUAUUAAAAACAAAUCAUUAAAUAGUACAUUUAUAGUCAUAAACAAACAAGUCAUUUUUACACACACUAAUGCUAGAU